rnacentral:rRNA from 1 species
CAGUCGCCACGGGAAUACAGAGGGUGCGAGCGUUAAUCGGAUUUACUGGGCGUAAAGCGUGCGUAGGCGGCUUCUUAAGUCGGAUGUGAAAUCCCUGAGCUUAACUUAGGAAUUGCAUUCGAUACUUGGAAGCUAGAGUAUUGGAGAGGAUGGUAGAAUUCCAGGUGUAGCGGUGAAAUGCGUAGAGAUCUGGAGGAAUACCGAUGGCGAAGGCAGCCAUCUGGCCUAAUACUGACGCUGAGGUACGAAAGCAUGGGGAGCAAACAGGAUUAGAUACCCCCGUAGUCCCUGUCUCUUAUAC